UCGCGGGCGACUGCGAGUCUGAAGGAAGCCUGCGGGCAAAGCGCUGGCCUGACGCACAGGAAGCGGAUGAGGCGUUGUAGCGGGGUAAGGCGGCUAAAAUCGUUAAAGCCCAAUACUUGUACGGAGCGCUGCAACGUAGAUCCGACAGGCAUAAGCGGGAAAGUGGGUGCG
rfam:Aedes aegypti strain Liverpool supercont1.1683 genomic scaffold, whole genome shotgun sequence.